rnacentral:rRNA from 1 species
GACGAACGCUGGCGGCGUGCCUAACACAUGCAAGUCGAACGGGGUGAAGAGAGCUUGCUUUCUUUACUUAGUGGCGAACGGGUGAGUAACGCGUGAGAAACCUGCCUUUCAGUGGGGGACAACAGUUGGAAACGACUGCUAAUACCGCAUAAUGUAUUUUUGGGGCAUCCCUUUAAUACCAAAGGAUUUAUUCGCUGAAGGAUGGGCUCGCGUCCGAUUAGGUAGUUGGUGAGGUAACGGCCCACCAAGGCGACGAUCAGUAGCCGGACUGAGAGGUUGAACGGCCACAUUGGGACUGAGAUACGGCCCAGACUCCUACGGGAGGCAGCAGUGGGGAAUAUUGGGGCAAUGGGCGCAAGCCUGACCCAGCAAUGCCGCGUGAAGGAAGAAGGCUUUCGGGUUGUAAACUUCUUUUGUCAGGGACGAGUAGAAGACGGUACCUGACGAAUAAGCCACGGCUAACUACGUG